GUCUUUCUAACCUAUCUACAGAAAGAGAGAGAUUAAUUCUCUCCUUGGUCCCCCUCCUCCUUCCCUUUCCUCUCUCCUUUCUCUGCCCCUCCAUAUGCCCUUGUAUAACCACAGGUAAGUAUACAAAAUGUUUUGUGGGUACCAUGAUUGAUGGUGACUGCCAGAUAUUUCCAGCAUUCGCCUCCAUCGCCUUUGGUAGGUCUGAGGAUGGAACUCGUGUCUUUAGGCUUUGUGGCAAGUAACUUUACCUGCAAAGUCAUCUAAACAACAGAUGGCUCUGCUCAAAUCCCACUACUUCAGAGGGCGUCUCCUGACGAAUCCCACUCUUGGAAGGCGCUUUGUACUUGUGCAUUUCUGUAAAGAAAAAAGAAAAUAAAGAAGGAAAGACUGGACACACUUGAAGCUGAGAUUUCAUAAAACAACAGUAUUCUAAGAGACUACAUUCUUCAUUCUUCCCUAGAAAUCUAGAAGAUGCUUCUGUUAGCAAAUGUCAUAUAUAAAGUCAAAAAGUCAAAAUGAAGUGUUGGUACCUAGGGCCUUUGGGUUUUC